rnacentral:lncRNA from 11 species
AGAGCUGCCAUGCAGAACAAGAAAAGAUCAAAGAAGGCUAAAAUGUUGAAUAAUCUUGCAGCUGUCGCCAGACCAAAGAGGGAUGAUGCUGAGACCUCAAGCCGAUGUACUCUUUCAGAAACAUCAGAUUUACUUGGAGUCAUUGACACAACGAUACAAGCAAAACAGCUGGAUGAAAUUGCAACAUGGAGAAAGCCACCAAAUCUUUCAUCUUUCAUUUGGGUUUUCCCUCUGACACAUGGCUAGAAAUCAAAACUGCUGCCUUCCGCUUCAUCUGUUGUGAAAUUGUUUCACUGAGUUUUAAAAUAGCAUAACGCAAUUUUGAACUGCAAAGGCCUACCUUGAAGAUUCACAUGGGAAAUAAAUGGGGAGGGGAGAUGAAAAUAGAAAUGUGCAGAAGGAAACCAGAAAAAGAUUCAAGGCAGAAGAUUCUGUUCAAGAUUUCGUCUCCCUUCUGUUAACCUGAUCAUAUUUAACUGGAGG